ensembl:lncRNA novel transcript
GGUGUUUAGCGGGGGCCCAACACACCUCGGUCUCCUCACCCACCUAAGCGGGGAGAGUGGCGCACAACGUGGCCUGACUCCAUCCUCUGGUAUCUCGUGCCUCAGUUUCCCAUCUGUAAAUGGAACACACGCGAUUUCAGCCGCCGUUCAACCUUUCUAAAAGCUUUCACAUCCAUUAUCUGACUGGUGUCUCAAACUGCUACUGAGGCUUCAGCUCUGAUCUGGACCAGUGCUCUCCAGGCCUACUGCACAGCUGUCAUACUGAACUUUCCUAUAUCCUACACCUGGUUGGGAUUCCCUGUGCCCUGGACCUUGUGUCUCAAACUUCUAGAUUGUGGAUUUACUCUGUCAUCUCUGUGCAGCACAUCUUUCUGUAGAUUCCUGAGAAAGGUUGCAAAGAAGCAAAUAUAUUUAGUCCUUGUAUGUCUAAAUAUGCAUUUAUACUGUUUUCACACUUGAUUAAUAGUUUAGCAGGGUAUAGAAAUCUAGGCUGAAGGCCAGGCGCCAUGUCUUAUGCCUGUAAUCCCAGCACUUUGGGAGGUCGAGGCAGGCAGAUCACCUGAGGUCAAGUGUUUGAGACCAGCCUGGCCAACAUGCUGAAACCUUGUCUCUACUAAAAAUACAAAAAAAACAUUAGCUGGGCAUGGUGGCACAUGCCUGUAGUCCCAGCUACUCGGGGAGGCUGAGGCAGGAUAAUCACUUGAACCCAGGAGGCAGAGGUUGCAGUAAGCCA